AGAAAAUGAAAAAUAUGACGGAAGCUGACUUACAGAAAUUGGAAUUGCUGAAAAAUAUUUCAUUAGCUAUGAAAUUACAUCAAGAAGAAUUGCCAAAUGAGAUUAUCCAGCUAAACCUUC